UAAUGGCGCCAGGUCAGGGUUACUUCCGGACUUCCUUCCAGUAGCUUCUGAGCGGUAGCGUCGGGUAGGGAAUUCCUUCAUUGGAAGAUGAUGAUUCAUUCUUGAUGUGCCUGCAGGUCUGGUAAACAUGGCAAGUUGAAAUACUUGAACCUCUGUAGCUUCAAAUUAUUUGUAUGUAUUCUGAAUCUAGUUCGUGAUUGAUGAUUCACUGUAAUGGCCCCCAAUGGUGGAAGGCACUCAUUACUGUCAGGAUUAUUGGAUCCUGCCCCUCAGACCUCUAAGAAGCCUGCUCCAAAGAGAAAAUAUCGACGCUGUAAAAGUGCUCCUACUGCUGAAUAUGUUCCUCCACAAGUAAAUGGAACGGGAUCACUCCCACCUUCUGUAUCCAUUCUUGGGAAACUCCACCCCAGUUUUAGGCAAGUAGCCACAUUCUUGGCCGUUUACCUUGGUGUCGGUACUAUAUGUUUCUACUUCAUCAGGCACCAGAUCAAAGGGAAGAAAACAAAUGGGAUUCUGGAUGCUAUUUAUUUCUGUAUUGUGACAAUGACAACAGUUGGAUAUGGAGACCUUGUGCCCAACAGUGUUCCUACCAAACUACUUGCAUGUGCUUUUGUCUUCACAGGAAUGGCCCUGAUUGGAUUAAUCCUUACAAAGGCAGCAGAUUACCUAGUAGAGAAGCAGGAAAGGUUGACGGUUAAAGCAUUACACCAGCUCCAUAUGGAUGGCCAAAGGGAGAUUCUCGAGGAGAUAGAACCCAACAGAGUGAGGCACAAAUGUUUUGUGGUUCUUAUUGUUCUUUUGGUGCUGAUGAUUACCGGAACGAUCUUCCUGUGUUCGGUCGAGAAUUUGGACUUUGUUGAUGCAUUUUACUGUGUCUGUUCUACCAUCACAACCCUUGGCUAUGGAGACAAGAGCUUCUCGACUAAAGCAGGGCGUGUAUUUGCUAUAGUUUGGAUAUUGACCAGUACUAUUUGUUUAGCUCAGUUCUUCCUCUAUCUUGCUGAACUGAAGACUGAAAGCAGACGGAGGUCACUGGUUAAAUGGGUUCUUACCCGAAGAAUGACAAAUGUAGAUUUGGAAGCAGCUGAUCUUGAUGAUGAUGGGGUUGUUAGUGUUGCGGAAUUCAUCAUAUAUAAGCUCAGAGAGAUGGAUAAGAUUAGCCAAGAAGAUAUUUCACUUGUAAUAGAGGAAUUUGAAGAUCUUGAUGUUGAUCAGUCGGGAACACUGUCAGUAUCAGACAUAAUGCUUGCACAGUCUUCGUAAACUAGAGGAUAACUAGAACAAUCAAUUUUAUAGAGCAUCUACUCUUGCACUUGUGAAAAAUUACAAUUAGAGAGUUCAUCCUCAAAACCUAAGUAUUAAGGAGAGAGAGAUUUAAGAGGAUUUUUAUUCUGGCUUGAGACGAUUUACAGAGGCGAUGUGGGACUGGACGGUACACCAACACUCCCCCUCGAGCCCAUGGGGGGAAAUGAGGCGAGAAAGAGUCCAACCCACGGAAGAACCAAGCAGCCCAAGGCCCAGCUCUAAUACCAAAUUUGAGAGUUCAUCCUCAAAACCUAGGUAUUAAAGAGAGAGAGCUAAGAGGAUUUUUAUACUAGCUUGAGAUUGCUUACAGAGGCGACGUGGGAUUGGACGUACACCAACAUAGACAAAAAUGAGUUUUAUCAUAAAUUCAGAGAAUUUGUGGGCUUGGAUUCAAUAUCCAUAGCGAUCCAGGGGAUUGAUAACACGUUUAUUGUUAAAUUCUUUCAAAUUUACAUUCCUAGAAUUUUGCAUGUAUAAAAAAUAUAUGGCUUCUAAACUGUUCUCAUAUGAUGCAGAAAAUAUAGAUGCUACUAUAUGUGAAUUCCUCAUUGGAUUUGCAUCUUGUUGGCUUCUUGCUUGUAUGUUGGAUAGUGCAAAACUUUAAAAAUUUGAAAUCAUUGUAUUGAGCUUGUGCUAGCUAUGAUGCUGAUGAAUAAAUUUUAUCUGUAGCAAUGGAGUUAGAUUGCAA